GACGAACGCUGGCGACGUGCUUAACACAUGCAAGUCGAACGGAAAGGCCCUGCUUUUGUGGGGUGCUCGAGUGGCGAACGGGUGAGUAACACGUGAGUAACCUGCCCUUGACUUUGGGAUAACUUCAGGAAACUGGGGCUAAUACCGGAUAGGAGCUCCUGCUGCAUGGUGGGGGUUGGAAAGUUUCGGCGGUUGGGGGUGGACUCGCGGCUUAUCAGCUUGUUGGUGGGGUAGUGGCUUACCAAGGCUUUGACGGGUAGCCGGCCUGAGAGGGUGACCGGCCACAUUGGGACUGAGAUACGGCCCAGACUCCUACGGGAGGCAGCAGUGGGGAAUAUUGCACAAUGGGCGGAAGCCUGAUGCAGCAACGCCGCGUGCGGGAUGACGGCCUUCGGGUUGUAAACCGCUUUCGCCUGUGACGAAGCGUGAGUGACGGUAAUGGGUAAAGAAGCACCGGCUAACUACGUG
rnacentral:rRNA from 1 species